UCUGGACUACCAGGAUUUGCUGGCCCACCUGGCCCUCCUGGCCCGCCGGGUGUGCCCGGCGUUCUUCCUGAUGGCAACGGAGACCUUCAGUGCCCAGCCCUCUGCCCGCCUGGCCCUCCAGGGCCACCAGGAGUUCCAGGAUUCAAGGGUCAUACUGGUUACAAAGGCGAGCCUGGAGAACUAGGCAAAGAUGGAGAGAAGGGUUCACCAGGCCCUCCAGGCCCUGCGGGACCUCCAGGAAGUGUUGGCUUGCAGG